AUACGGGGGGUGCAAGCGUUAAUCGGAAUUACUGGGCGUAAAGCGCGCGUAGGCGGUUUGCUCAGUCGGAUGUGAAAGCCCAGGGCUCAACCUUGGAACUGCAUACGAUACUGGCAAACUAGAGUGUGAGAGAGGAUAGUGGAAUUUCCGGUGUAGCGGUGAAAUGCGUAGAUAUCAGAAGGAACAUCAGUGGCGAAGGCGACUGUCUGGCUCAACACUGACGCUGAGGUGCGAAAGCGUGGGUAGCAAACAGGAUUAGAAACCCGAGUAGUCC
rnacentral:rRNA from 1 species